AUGGACAAGGAAAUUAAGGUACACUGGGUUAGCUGGGAGACUAUGACUUGGCCAAAAAGGAAAGGUGGCUCGGGAUUUAGGAAUCUUCAUCAUUUCAACAUUGCAAUGCUAGCAAGGCAGGCAUGGAGACUGCUUCAAAAUCCGAGUACACUUUGCGCCAGGGUCUUAUCAUUGAAUUACUAUCCGGAUGGUCAAAUUCUGGAUGCAAAAUCGACCAGAGGUAUGUCUUAUGCCUAGAGAAGCAUUUUAAAAGGAAUUAGUCUUUUGAACAAAGGAAUAAUAUGGAGAGUGGGGAAUGGACGGAAUAUCAGUAUUUGGAAUGACCCCUGGAUCGCAAGAGGAACAUCAAGAAGAGUAAUCUCAAGGAAAGGGAGGAAUGUAAUCACUAGGGUAGAAGAGCUUAUUAAUCCAAUAAAACUACCUAGGAUGCGCAAUUAUUGA
rnacentral:rRNA from 1 species